UCUCUCUCUCUCUCUCUUGCUCUCUCAAAUAUCUUUUAGGUUUAUCGCACAACCUUCUCGAUCCACCAAAAUCCAUUAGGUUUUGGACCCUAGUUCUUGAGGCCAAAAUGAAGAGUUUGGCAAGAACAACAUUUUGAUCGAUGGAGAUUGAAAUCCGACAACGUCAAAAAAUUGGGGUUUUUGCUUCUUCCUCCUUCUAGCUAUUGAGGUGAUUGGUGUGCCUCCGCCAAAGUGAAGGCGUGGAGGAUCUUUUGGAGCACAAGGCUCAAUUAUUUAUUUGUUUUGUUUUUUUUUCUUUGCAAAUCAAGGGUUGUUUAUGUAUGAGUUUGAAAACCACUUUGUUGUAACCGGACAAAGCCUUGGAACUUGUAGCCAAUAGGGCAUUUAGGGCUCAAUCGAGCCGAGCCGAGCCGAGUUUUACAAUAUUCGAACUCGACUGACUUAUUUAUAAGGUGUUCGAGUUCGGCUCGAGCUCGAAACGAGCUACAAUAUCUCAGCUCGAGCUCGGCUCGUCUAAAAUUUGUAUAACUCGAGCUCGGCUCAUAAUGGCUCGUUAAGCCAAAAGAGAUCCGUGGAAGCCACAAACUAACCCUCUGCACUUGCACUUAUAUAGAAUUUUGUCCAAUUUAAAAUGUA